rnacentral:lncRNA from 1 species
AGACAGCAUGGAACAUUCUGUGUUUGAGUGCUAGCAGACAGUACCUGGCGUAUGUACAGAUUUUAAGAAGAAAAUAAUGAGCUGACACCUUGUGUGGAAUUAAAGAAUGCAGAGAAUCAGUAUUAACUCUCGGGAUCCUGGACCUAGUGUAAAUGGAGCUCUCUACGAACUCUUCAGGAGUCCCUCAACUUACCCAUCAAAAUGUUUUACAGAUUGCAUCAUCUUGAGAUGAGCAGCUGCUUCAUCUUUGGUAAGAAGAAUGCAGUUCCAGGGGGACCACUCCAGGGAUUUAUUCCAUCUGACCAUGACCAGAUCACUGAGAUUGUCGCAAGCACUGAGGACUGACUGGGACGCCCAGAUGUUCUCUGUCAGGAGAAAUCUGACUAAUACAACAUGGAAUAUUGAGCCAGCACUUCUUGGUGACUUACAUUAAAGCCCUAGUACAUCUAAGAUUCUCUACAAGGAAAUAUACAUCUGUCAUGUCAAUAAUUCCUGAAUAAAAGUAGCAAAUAAGAAUUUAAGCUGAAAUAAACAUCAAAUUUAUUAACAAAAUAUUCAUUCUAUUGGACAAAAUAUGUAAUCAUUUUAAUUUGUGCUUUUCAAACUGUGGGUUGCUACCUCUUGGGUGAUACCAAAGUUUUCCAAAUGGAAAUCAGAAUAAGUAGACUGAGAUUGAAUAGAAAAUAUCAGAGUACAUCCAUAGGGGUAAAGAUAAACACUAUUUUGGAAACUUUUAUUUCUGAGGCAGAACAGCAUGUGUUUACAUGUACGGAUGCUGGGAAUCAGACUGCCUAGUUUUCAAUCCUGGUGCUGGUACUUAGUAGCGUAAACUUGGACAAGUUAGUUAACCACUCAGUGCUUCCCUUUCCUCACCUGCAGAAUGGAAAUAAUGCCUAUUUUGAUAGGAUUUUUGUG